UACGAAGGGGGCUAGCGUUGUUCGGAUUUACUGGGCGUAAAGCGCACGUAGGCGGAUCAUUAAGUCAGGGGUGAAAUCCUGGAGCUCAACCCCAGAACUGCCUUUGAUACUGGUGAUCUUGAGUCCGGAAGAGGUGAGUGGAACUCCAGGUGUAGAGGUGGAAUUCGUAGAUAUCAGGAAGAACACCAGUGGCGAAGGCGGCACACUGGUCCGGUACUGACGCUGAGGUGCGAAAGCCAGGGGAGCAAACAGG
rnacentral:misc_RNA from 1 species